ensembl:lncRNA
UUUGCUUUUUUAACGAGGUGCCUGCAAUGGUUCUGCAAUUAAAGUCUUCUGCAACAUUCUUUGGAACGGGAGGGGAAAUGAAAAUCCAUUCUAAUCAGUUCUACUGUGCUUGGUGGAAUAAUUCACAUGAAUCGGACGCCUGGCUGUCUGAAAAGGGAAAUGCAGAAGCAUGGGGCCCUGCCCAGCUUUCUUAUCAUGCAGGUCACUUUUUUGGGGGGGGAAAAGGAACAAACAGAACAAAACAAGGAUGGUGACGGUCCAAAAAGAACCAACCUCCUGCACUGAACAUCUCCCACACGUCUGUUUGUUCUUUGUACAAAUCAACAACAACUCUCCUCAGUUCCAGAUCUACCAGAGACCCCAAACCAGCACUCUCUCCUCCUGCUCCAGGCAGCACCGGGACAGUCAUGGAAUCUGAGCAGAAGGUCCAGUGGUGAUGCACAACACAGACUGCAGAAACACGGCAGCACUGCCAUUAGUGCAGCUUUGUUGCCCCUAGAUUGCAUCCUUAGGACUAAAAGCCAGCUACAGAGAACAGAUUUAGUUCUAUUUUCAGGCAUAUUUCUCUGUUUGGAACCUGCUUUGCAGGGCUCCUGCAGAGGCCAUACGCUUUGCUCGCUCCAAGUGGAACGCAGCGUCCGCAGAUGUCAAUCCAGGAAAAAGCCUUUGGCAGUAAUAGCCCCAAAGAACUGUGUAAAACAACUGUCACCACGUUUUAUCUUUUAAUCUUCAUCUGACAGCCUCUGAUUUCAGCAGAUCGACUUUAGCACGGCACAUAUUCACCGCCACUCAACUCGAUGGCAGUCGCCAAAGGCUCCGCGUUAAGCAGAUUUGCUAACGCUCUUCAGACUAAACAGCAGCCAUUGCCAAUUACUGCUUAAUUAAACUCAAAUCAAGCCAUAAAAAUUCCUGUUUAGGCAAGAUGUACCACCCCUCAUUGCAGCACCCCGAAUAGCUUUUUUAAGCGACACGACUGCAAUGUGAAUAGAUUUCCAAUUGAUCUGCUGUGCGUAAAUCCUGUGGGGCUGUCUGCAAUACAGUGCUCCAAAACUGGUCAGACAAAAUACAACACCCAUACCCAGGACCAGGAGAUAGAUCUGUUUCCUACACGGGAGAAGUAAGGAACAAACCAGAACAACAUUGUUACAGACACCCAAAACUCACACAUGGAGUUCCAAAGCAUCCGGCCAUUCUGACGACGUUCCUUACUACUGAUGUCAUUGAUGUCAUGGCUGAGGAUACCAAGAUAGCCUCUUGAUACAACACUGAGAUGUGUCUUGUAAACAAACACGCAUUCAAAAUGGAAGAGGUUAAGCGGUAGAGUAAAAUAUGAGUACAUAUUAAAAAAAAAAUGCUAUAAAACAGUAGCAAAAAUUAACUAAAAAGAUACACCAAUAAACCACGGAUGGCCAACAGACUGUCAGUUCUAUGGGCUCCGAACUCAGCACAAGGGAAAUGCUACAGAAGUGGAGCAGAACUCUGAACCCAUGCUUACCUCGGAGCUGCCUGGGUGUGCCAGGCCAGCUCUGCCACCCGGCCCCACGCUGCUGCAAUUCUUGCACCCAAAUUGAAGUGAUGGGGGGGGGGGGGGGGAUCUGACAUCACACAGCACCGACAUUCUGAAAAGCUUUGUGGUAGAAGAUGUGCACAUAAACAGCCCUCGUUGUGGUUUAAAUUGACACUAUAAAAAAAAGAAACACACAAGAAGAAUCUAUCUGCUAGAUAGCCAAGGUCUGAAAAAACGUUGGGACAAACUAUCCCAAACAACCUACCAAACAGAUAAAGCCUUUCCUGUGAUAAUGCACUCUCCUUCCUAGCAAGGAUGCACGGAUAGUGAAGCCUCAGGACACUCCGAGGGAACACAAUGAACUCCCAAACUCGAGGGAUUUCAUCACUUCCUGACCUACUGCAGAAUGCAAAGUGCCAAAGGCAGUGCAUAGGAACUACAUUCAGCCAUCACUGCUGAAGACCGAUGCCUGAAACACGGUUCUGGGAUUCCACCCUGCUCAGGAAAAAGCUUUCUUCCAGCACCCCCAUCACUGGGAUCACGUUCUGUGAGAACAGGAAGGCGGAACAGGGAACGCUGUACAGUAACUGUGGGGUAUUAUCAGCACAAUUCUGCUUUCCAUGGAUUGUCUGCUUGCAGCACAUGUUGCUAGUGGCAUCCUGAUGGUUCAGGUUCUCCAAAAAGACAGACAUAGCACAGACAGCAGCAGCAGCACAAGCUUUGCAACUCUGCAGUACUAUUAUACAGCAGCAGUGACAUUUAAAAGAGAUUUCCAGAAGCAAGACAGAUGUUCAGCUUCCAUGCUCAUCCAGUCUAAUUCUACCACCACCUAUGAAUUAACCAAUGCAAAUACUAUCAAAGCAUUCAACAAUACCACAGUUACUUCAGCAACAUGAACUGCAAUGUAACACAACGUUUCUGUAAUGCUGCACUAUUUUUUAAACCAACAUGGUACUAUACCCAUAUUACAAACUGCUAACGUGAUAAUUAAAGAAGAGCCUAUACUAACCCCACCUUCCCUACACUAAAAACAAGUUGCAAUGAGCUGCAAACUGCUCCUGAAGUGAGCCAGUAGAGCACCAGCAAGUCACAUCACCGAGCUCCGAGGAAUGUGAUCCAAAAAAGCUGGCAGUUCUAUGCUUAUUAAUAAACGUCUGCUUAACGAGGCAGCAUAUAUACAAGACAGUAUUAUCUUAAGUGACCUGAAGUGGGGAAAACGUGAGCAAGCCUCCCUCCCACCUCCCCGUGCCCAGUCUUACAGUUUGCUUUCCCAACUGCCUCCUGAGAUUACAAUCCCAUAGGGGACUCCUGUUUUCCAAGGCAGGCGCCUAAGCAAAAGCAAUCAUCUUCUCACAUCACCUGUCAGGAAGUUGGACACUACCAGGCUGAAAUACAGAGAGGCUGCACUUUCAUAGCAACUUCCCCUAAGAAGGUAUUCCUGAAGGUGAGCGUGCAUCUCACAGCUAUGGCAGUGCAAUCUGCUGCAGCUACUUGGAGAACAGCAUGAAACUAGGCCAAGCAAAACUGACAAGCUCUAUUAGUUAGCAUUUGGUUCUCUUGCAUAUCUAUGCUGAAAGUGAUACAGUUUACAAAAAAAAAUUAAGUGCACGUGUGCACAUACACAACUUUUAAACUAAAACUUGGCUUUUCUCCAUAGGGGACAAGGAAAGGGAAGCAAUUAAAUUGCAAGUCUUUAGUGCUCAUUAGUUAUUUUUAAACUCUAAUCCUAGUCUGCAAUGUUGCUCUCAAAUCCACACACACAUUGGGCAUAAAAUUGGCCAACCUAAAACAACCAUUAAAAGUGCUGCUAUUUAUAUAUAGCUAUAUAUAUUUUCUAGAGCAAACUCAUAAGCUAUCAUGCAAACCAGAAAAUUCCACAUGCCUGCUCUUAAUUAUGAUCUGCAGGUUUCUCUCUGCAUUGAACAAAAAAAGAGUCAAUAUUGCACAUUGUCAUUUUAAGAGCCACCGGCACAGGAACUUCAUCCUGUAUCUGCUGAUGUCUAAAUGCAAAGCAGUUAUCACCCCUCCAAUGAAACUCGACAGGAAGACGGUUCGCUACACGAGCUCACUCCCUGCUACCUGCACCUG